rnacentral:lncRNA from 1 species
UAAUCCAUUCAGGUGAUAUUAAUGGCCUUUUCCUGCCAGGAACUCCAGUGGGCACUCAGGAAGCCAGGAUUACAGGGCUCUAUCCAGUCACCGCAUGUCUCGGCAUUCGGGAAGCCUAUCUCAGUCUCCUCAAAUUCUGCACACAUAAAACUUCAGAGCCUGGGAGCGACCCAUGAAACGCAGGUUUUUAAGGACAAAACAAUAGGACAAAAGUGCUGUAUAUUGUCCUUAAGAUGACACAUGAAUUUAAAAUGCAUAGUGUUUGGAUUAUUCAUGAGAGCCCCGCAAGAACGAUGUCCCAGGGGUUUUUGCCAGGAACAUGCCUGAGAUUGUAGAUAAGAAUCAAGCAUCUGGGGCUGCCGCACAAUGGAAAACUCCAGCACUCCAUGGAACUUUUCCAUCUGCAGCAGUCGGAGGAUUUGCCUGAGAACAUACGCGGCAUGAAGACACUCUCAGCCCUCAAGGGCACCCAGUCAGCGCUGUUUAAGGACGGUUUUUCUGUUCACAGCAUACUUCAUGAUUACAGCUUCACUCCAUUGGAUACAACUAUUUACUGAGCAUCUCCUGACACCAGAGAGGACGCAACAAAAAUCACAACUCCUAGAACUGCACAGUCUAAAUGGCAACCACUAGCCCCUGUGACAACUGAUCACUUGAAAAAGGCUUCAUUCAAAUCAAAUUGGAAGAGAAGUCCAGAUUACCCAACUACAAUUACCUGAGCAAAAAUCCCCUCAAUUAUCUUGGUAAUCCAGAUAAAUUCGGAGUACAAAGAUUCUUUAGACGACAGCCAUCAAGCAGCAAAUACCUCGCAGGAGGCCAUUGUGUUUCUAUUUGAACUUCUAUGGAUGUCAAGCUCUGUUCUUCAAAAUUUAGCCCUACAGAUGGGUGGCCCACCGGAGAGAAUUAAUCUCACUAUGCAGCCAACACUACCCUUUCUGGAUCUUUCCCCAGUAGUGUGGAUUCUGCUCUAGUCCAGAAUUAUGCAGAAUAAGUAUACUUCAUCUUAGACACCAUAAUUCUUCAAAUAUCUAAAAUGUAUAUUAUGCUCUCCAAAUCCUGGUCAUCUCCAGGUUAAGUAUCUCUCAAAAACAGUCCAUCAGAUAAUAUGAUUUUAAAUCUUUAUCCCCUUGGUCAUAUACCCACAAUCUCAUUCUAUUUACCAAUAUCCCUACUGAUGCAUAAACUACA